rnacentral:rRNA from 1 species
UACGUAGGGUGCGAGCGUUAAUCGGAAUUACUGGGCGUAAAGCGUGCGCAGGCGGUGAUGUAAGACAGAUGUGAAAUCCCCGGGCUCAACCUGGGAACUGCAUUUGUGACUGCAUCGCUGGAGUGCGGCAGAGGGGGAUGGAAUUCCGCGUGUAGCAGUGAAAUGCGUAGAUAUGCGGAGGAACACCGAUGGCGAAGGCAAUCCCCUGGGCCUGCACUGGACGCUCAUGCACGAAAGCGUGGGGAGCAAACAG